GGAACUGCAUGGUAUCUGCAGCCAGCAGCACAUCCUGCUGGGUGUUCAAAGGACAGUGCAACAGAAAUUCAGUGUCUGGCAUCGUUGGUUUUCUCAGCUUUGUGCUAGUAAACCUGGUAUUUUUACUGAGACACCC